UUAAAAACAAAACAAGUGCGUUUUUCUUGAAUUUUUUUUUUUCUCGCGUCGUUGGCUCUGCUGGUUCGCUCUGUGCUACUGGUUCUCACUCAAGCUAGCUUCCAUGGGAGAAGCUUGAAGCUCGCGUGCUCCCUCUCUCUCCAUCUCUGUCUUCGUCCUUCUCUCUCUAUCUUUUCGUCCAUCUCUCCUCCUCUCUCUCUCAUCAGUUCAAACCCUAGAAAUUGGGGAUUUUCAAAUCAAAUAACCAGAACCACCUUGUUCCAAGGGCUUUCAAGGUUGAGAGGUACAAAGACAAAGAAAUCUCUGGGGUUGAAGCUGAAAGGGGAGAUUCUAGUGGAUCCAAAGAUCUCGGCCGUUGUAGCAAGGUUUGACGACAAUCAUCUCUCUUUGUCAUUUUACAAUAUGUUUGGUUGCUGAGAGCAUUUAACAAUCUCUCUUUCUCACUUUAUUUUUAUUCAGUAUCUUGUUCUUUGAUUUUAUAAUCAGACGUAUGCUUAUGAAUGGGCAGAUUUGCUUA